CAAGGGUUAGAUCCCAAACCCUAGUCUUCACGUAUAAAAUUUUUUCAAAGAAAAUAAAUUUUAGGUUUUUCCUAUCUUAAAUUCCUGGCUACAUUGGUUGGCGGGGCGCGUGCGGGCUUCUGAGGUGGCGCGUGGAGUCCACGCUUUAUCUCGUUCAUGGUUUUAAUUUUUCAAUCCGAAUCGGGAAACCCUUGCCGGAACCCUGCCGGCUCCCGAUAAUUUAAUGGCAUCGGCCGUGUUAGCGAAUCGAAGUGAGUCAAAUUGGCCACCGCAGCCGAAGAGCAGUGUCGCUAAAUUCAUGGGCAAAGUUCCCUUCACAGCAACAAAACCUAACCCUAACCCUAAAUUCAACAAGAAACGUCAAUUGCACCAGCACUUGCCGCCGCCUGACGACGUUGCUGGCCACGUCGUCGAUGAUUCCCCUGCCGUGACCCAAUCCGCAGCUUCUGACGACGCAUCAUCGAUUAAUCGGAAGCUAAACGAUUUCAGCUCUGGGGCUUACGUCAGCUUCCACAUCAGCUCGUAUUCGAGGAAGGAGUUGAUCGAUCUGAAGAAUCGGUUGGUUGCCGAGUUGGAGCAGAUUCGUGAAUUGAAGAAUCGAAUUGAGUCGAAUGAUUUUCACGUUAGAUCCAGCUCCACCAAGAAACCCAUAUCCAAAAAAAACAUUUCAGGUAACAAACGGCCUUUGCCCCCAAAUUUCAGCAAAGAAUUGAAGAGAUUGAACCCUCAAGAAAACGGAAAAGCAUCGACGACUCAUUUGAUGAAAAACUGUUCCCAAAUUUUGAACAAAUUGAUGAAGCAGAAGUAUGGGUACAUCUUCAAUUCGCCGGUCGAUGUCGUUGGGAUGGGUCUUCAUGAUUAUUAUGAUAUAAUCAAGAAUCCGAUGGAUCUGGGCAGUGUUAAAUCGAGGAUGGCCAAGAAUUUUUAUGGGUCUCCGUUGGAUUUUGCGGCUGAUGUAAGGCUGACCUUCAAUAACGCGAUGCUGUAUAACCCUAAAGGGCAUGAGGUUUAUAUGCUGGCUGAGCAGUUGCUUGCUAGAUUCGAGGAGUUUUUCCGGCCGCUGAGUUUGAAAUUGGAGGAGCAAGAAGUGCCACAAGAAAAGGGUUAUUAUGAGGAAGAGUUACAGGCGAGUUCUUGGGAUCAUGGCGAAGCUGAUAGGAUGAAGAAAGAGAGGGAAAGGAAUGGGGAGAGGAAUAUUGAUAGGGAUGAUUCGGUUAAUAUUGUGGCAAGAUCUGAUAAAAUUGGAGGGGUUUCAGGCUUUGUUUCAAACCCAAAUGUACCACCGCCUCAGUUGCAGAUGCAGGCGCCGGCAAGGGUGGCUUCACCUGUAAGGGCACCGCCAGUGAAGCCAUUGAAGCAGCCGAAGCCGAAGGCAAAAGAUCCAAACAAGAGGGAAAUGAGUAUGGAGGAGAAGCAAAAGUUGGGUAUUGGAUUGCAGAGCUUGCCACAGGAGAAGAUGGAUAAUGUGGUUCAGAUUAUAAGGAAGAGGAAUGGGCAUUUAAGGCAGGAUGGGGACGAGAUUGAACUCGAUAUAGAGGCAAUGGAUACAGAGACGCUGUGGGAGUUGGAUCGGUUUGUUACAAAUUACAAGAAGAUGGUCAGCAAGAUUAAGCGGCAAGCGUUGAUGGCAAACAAUGUGGUGUCUAAUGACAGCAAUAGGCAGGAGGAGGUAACUGUGGAGAAGAUUGAGGUUGCAAUGGAAAUGAAGAAGCCCAAGAAAGGGGAUGCAGGCGAGGAAGAUGUAGAUAUUGGGGAUGAAAUGCCGAUGAGCAGUUUUCCACCUGUGGAGAUUGAGAAGGAUAAUGAUCGUGCUAGUAGCAGUUCUAGCAGCUCCAGCAGUUCAAGUAGUGAUUCGUCAUCUUCAAGCGAUUCGGACUCUGGGAGUUCGUCAGGAAGUGAUUCUGAUGCUGAUGAUGCGCGAUCUUAAGGACAUGGAUUGAAGGAUGGGUUAUAUGUUUUUGAAGCUUGUGAGCUGAGAUUUUGGGGCAAUCCAGGAGGAGUUGGGUGGGAUAUAGAUGAGGCGUGGCAUGUGGCAACAGACUCAAAUGCAAAAUUUUGAGAGUGCAUAUUCUUUCCUUGGUAAACAAGAGAGAUUAUAACAGGAAUGGUGGUUGUAGCCUUUAUAUUAUUUAUUAUUGGGGGAAAUGAUGGGGAAGAAGAUAACAGUAGAAAAGUAACCCUGCACAAGUUCUGAUUAAAUAUGGAGAGGAAUUGAUGAGAGAAGGCAACUGCCGCCUGCCUGCCUUGGAUUCCAGAGGAUGGGAACAUGACAAACACAUGAUGGUUGCCGCCUCCAGGGAAAAAUGGUUCUCAAUCGCCAUUUAUAUGCGCUUUGCCCGAUACCCGUGCGCCAUCUAGCUCAAGGUCCAGAACUGGUUAGCUCUCGUUUGCUGAUCAGCCACUUUGCUAUGCCUGGAGGUGGUCUGGCGUUACUGUUAUUUCAACAACGGCAGCGUCACUCUUCCUACCUUGAUUAUCCGAUGAGUGAGAAAAAUAUCUACAACGCCUUUGCUGUUGUCGUGUAUGCAAGUUUCCUCUAUUCUACAUUUAUAUAUAUAUAUAUAUAUAUAUCUAGAGAGAGAGAAGUGUUUGAUAGAAUGCAUAGUACAUGGUAUAAAACUUACAAUCAUAUCGUAUGACCAA